AAGCUUUGGCUAUUAAGGGGUCAAGGCCACCUUCAAAAUAUGGCGAGUUAAGCUUCCUAAACUCCAUUAUGUUAUGAAAAAUGGACCUCUUAGUUGUUUGGUAUUUUGGGGCAGGGGGUGGAUAAGGGUUGGCUUGAUUUUGUCCUACGGCUGCAGUCAAUCCUUGGAUGGCUCGAAAGAGUUCGAUAAAUUUAGCCCAAGUUAGAGGAU
rnacentral:lncRNA from 1 species